AAAUAAAUUUUUUAUGAUUUACAUAAUUUAUUAUAAAUUUAUUUUACAUAUAAAUUUUAGUGUUAAUUAUUAAUUAUUUAAAUAAUAAUUAAUUUUUUAUGUAGUAAUUAAUAUUAAAAAUUUAAGAAAUUAAGAUUUAGUAAUAUUAAAAUUAUUAACAAAUUUUGUGCCAGCAGUUGCGGUUAUACAAAAAUUAAAUUAAAUUUUUUUAGAUAUUAAUUAAUAUAUUUUUAAUAAUAAAUUAAAAAUUAAAUUAUUAAGUGAAAUUUUAAUUUAAUUAAAAUUAUUUAAUUUAUUUAUGAAAUUAAUAAAUUUAAAUAAAAAACUAGGAUUAGAUACCCUAUUAUUUUAAAAUUAAAGUGUAUUCUAAAAUAGUAUAUAAUUAUUUAUUGAAACUUAAAUAAUUUGGCGGUAUUUUAGUUUAUUUAGAGGAAUCUGUUUAUUAAUUGAUAAUCCACGAUUAAAUUUACUUAAUUUAUUAUUUUGUAUAUCGUUGUUAAAAAAAUAUUUUUAAAUAAAAAUAAUAUUUUAAAAUUAGAAAUGUAAAUUAAAUCAGAUCAAGAUGCAGAUUAUAAUUAAGAAUAUAAUGGAUUACAAUAAAUUUAUUUAAAUGAAUAUUAAUUUGUAAUAAUUAAUUGAAGGUGGAUUUAAAUGUAAUUUUAUUUAAUAUGAUAAAAUGAUUAAAAAUUAAAAUAUGUACAUAUUGCCCGUCACUUUCAUAUUUGAUAAAUUGGAAUAAGUCGUAACAAAGUAGAGGUACUGGAAAGUGUUUCUAGAAAGAU
rnacentral:ncRNA from 1 species